AUCUAGAUAUUUUAUAUAAAAAUAUUAAUUUGUGGAAUUAAAGAUGUAUUAUUGCUCUAGAUA
rnacentral:tRNA from 1 species